GCAAGCUCCUGCUCGCGUGAUCGUCUUCUCACCGUUUCACCGGGCAGGUGAAAAAAGAGCGGCCCCCGCGUGCCACAUACGCGGGGGCCGUUC
rnacentral:ncRNA from 1 species